rnacentral:rRNA from 1 species
GAUGAACGCUAGCUACAGGCUUAACACAUGCAAGUCGCGGGGCAGCAUGGGGGUUGCUUGCAAUCCCCGAUGGCGACCGGCGCACGGGUGAGUAACGCGUAUUCAACCUGCCCUUCACCACGGGAUAACCCGGCGAAAGUCGGACUAAUACCGUAUGUUUUCCAUUGACGGCAUCCGAUUUGGACGAAAGGCUUGGCGGUGAGGGAUGGGGAUGCGUCCGAUUAGCCAGACGGCGGGGUAACGGCCCACCGUGGCUACGAUCGGUAGGGGUUCUGAGAGGAAGGUCCCCCACACUGGAACUGAGACACGGUCCAGACUCCUACGGGAGGCAGCAGUGAGGAAUAUUGGUCAAUGGGCGUAAGCCUGAACCAGCCAAGUAGCGUGCAGGAUGACGGCCGUAUGGGUUGUAAACUGCUUUUAUGCGGGGAUAAAGUGGCCCACGUGUGGGCUUUUGCAGGUACCGCAUGAAUAAGGACCGGCUAAUUCCGUG